GGUUAAGUCCCGCAACGAGCGCAACCCCUAUCCUUAGUUGCCAUCAAGUAAUGUUGGGCACUCUAGGGAGACUGCCCGGGUUAACCGGGAGGAAGGUGGGGACGACGUCAAGUCAUCAUGGCCCUUACGCCUGGGGCUACACACGUACUACAAUGGUGCAUACAAAGGGUUGCGAUACCGUGAGGUGGAGCUAAUCCCAUAAAGUGCAUCCCAGUCCGGAUAGGAGUCUGCAACUCGACUCCUUGAAGUCGGAAUCGCUAGUAAUCCCGGAUCAGCAUGCCGGGGUGAAUGCGUUCCCGGGCCUUGUACACACCGCCCGUCACACCACGAAAGUUGGUUCUACCCGAAACCAGUGAGCUAACCAGCAAUGGAGGCAGCUGUCUACGGUGGGGCUGAUGAUUGGGGUGAAGUCGUAACAAGGUAGCCGUAGGGGAACCUGCGGUUGGAUCACCUCCU
rnacentral:rRNA from 1 species